rnacentral:rRNA from 1 species
GACGAACGCUGGCGGCGUGCCUAAUACAUGCAAGUAGAACGCUGAAGAGAGGAGCUUGCUCUUCUUGGAUGAGUUGCGAACGGGUGAGUAACGCGUAGGUAACCUGCCUUGUAGCGGGGGAUAACUAUUGGAAACGAUAGCUAAUACCGCAUAACAAUGGAUGACACAUGUCAUUUAUUUGAAAGGGGCAAUUGCUCCACUACAAGAUGGGCCUGCGUUGUAUUAGCUAGUAGGUGAGGUAACGGCUCACCUAGGCGACGAUACAUAGCCGACCUGAGAGGGUGAUCGGCCACACUGGGACUGAGACACGGCCCAGACUCCUACGGGAGGCAGCAGUAGGGAAUCUUCGGCAAUGGGGGCAACCCUGACCGAGCAACGCCGCGUGAGUGAAGAAGGUUUUCGGAUCGUAAAGCUCUGUUGUAAGUCAAGAACGAGUGUGAGAGUGGAAAGUUCACACUGUGACGGUAGCUUACCAGAAAGGGACGGCUAACUACGUGCCAGCAGCCGCGGUAAUACGUAGGUCCCGAGCGUUGUCCGGAUUUAUUGGGCGUAAAGCGAGCGCAGGCGGUUUGAUAAGUCUGAAGUUAAAGGCUGUGGCUCAACCAUAGUUCGCUUUGGAAACUGUCAAACUUGAGUGCAGAAGGGGAGAGUGGAAUUCCAUGUGUAGCGGUGAAAUGCGUAGAUAUAUGGAGGAACACCGGUGGCGAAAGCGGCUCUCUGGUCUGUAACUGACGCUGAGGCUCGAAAGCGUGGGGAGCGAACAGG